rnacentral:rRNA from 1 species
CCUACGGGCGGCUGCAGUGAGGAAUAUUGGUCAAUGGCCGCAGGGCUGAACCCGCCAAGUCGCGUGAGGGAUGACGGUCCUAUGGAUUGUAAACCUCUUUUGUCAGGGAGCAAAGGGCGCCACGUGUGGCGUUUUGCGAGUCCCUGAAGAAAAAGCAUCGGCUAACUCCGUGCCAGCAGCCGCGGUAAUACGGAGGAUGCGAGCGUUAUCCGGAUUUAUUGGGUUUAAAGGGUGCGCAGGCGGAAUGUCAAGUCAGCGGUAAAAUUUCGGGGCUCAACCCCGUCGUGCCGUUGAAACUGGCGGUCUUGAGUGAGCGAGAAGUAGGCGGAAUGCGUGGUGUAGCGGUGAAAGGCAUAGAGAUCACGCAGAACUCCGAUUGCGAAGGCAGCAUACCGGCGCUCAACUGACGCUCAUGCACGAAAGCGUGGGUAUCGAACAGGAUUAGAUACCCUAGUAGUC